rnacentral:rRNA from 1 species
AUUGAACGCUGGCGGAAUGCUUUACACAUGCAAGUCGAGCGGCAGCGCGGGGCAACCUGGCGGCGAGCGGCGAACGGGUGAGUAAUACAUCGGAACGUGCCCAGACGUGGGGGAUAACUAUUCGAAAGAGGAGCUAAUACCGCAUAUGAUCUAAGGAUGAAAGCGGGGGACUGCAAGACCUCGCGCGGUUGGAAGGGCCGGUGGCAGAUUAGGUAGUUGGUGGGGUAAAGGCUUACCAAGCCUGCGAUCUGUAGCUGGUCUGAGAGGACGACCAGCCACACUGGGACUGAGACACGGCCCAGACUCCUACGGGAGGCAGCAGUGGGGAAUUUUGGACAAUGGGCGAAAGCCUGAUCCAGCCAUUCCGCGUGCAGGAUGAAGGCCCUCGGGUUGUAAACUGCUUUUGUACAGAACGAAAAAGCUCUGGUUAAUACCUGGAGUCCAUGACGGUACUGUAAGAAUAAGCACCGGCUAACUACGUGCCAGCCGCCGCCGUAAAAC